AGUAAUGUGGUAUAGUGGGAACCACAUUGGACUUGUACUUAAGAGAUGUAGGGGUUCAAAUCCCCUUGCUGCUU
rnacentral:tRNA from 1 species